GUAAGUUUGAGAACUUUAUUGAAAAGAACAUAUAAAUGAAUAUUUUACAAUUUGCAAGUAAAAUACAUUGUAACAGUGCUUCUUAAGAAAGAAUAAAGUGCAAUCUAAAAUGAGAUAUUUCUUAUUUUUUUAUAUGUUUACACAUUUUACAUUGGUGUCAGGGGUUAAUUUGUUGUUUUUUUUUAUAGUUAUCAUUCCAAAACUAAGACUAUAGGCUAAUUCUCUUCUUUUUUGUAUAAAUGUUUGCUCUGCAAGUUUAUGAUUGUGGUCUCAACCUUAUGAUUGUGGACUUUGACCUUAU